rnacentral:rRNA from 1 species
UACGUAGGUGGCAAGCGUUGUCCGGAUUUAUUGGGCUUAAAGGGUGCGUAGGCGGUCAUGUAAGUCAGUGCUGAAAUAUCCCGGCUUAACCGGGAGGGUGGCAUUGAUACUGUAUGACUUGAGUAAAGUUGAGGUUGGCGGAAUUGACGGUGUAGCGGUGAAAUGCUUAGAUAUCGUGAAGAACACCUAUUGCGAAGGCAGCUAACUAAGCUUUAACUGACGCUGAGGCACGAAAGUGUGGGGAUCAAACAGG